UUUUCUUCGCGGAAAUUUUGAAGCUAAUGAAGUUGCCUAAGUUACCUAAAAUAACGUGGAUGAUAUAAAGACAUUCAGGCAUUUGCAUUAUAUUUAUUGCAUUGUGAUUGUUGCAUUGGCAAGCUUUGAGUAUGGGAAAGACCAGAAAGUCAACCAGAAUGCCAAAAGAUGGUGUUGCUAAAAAAAUGAAGUUAUCCCCACCUCAAAUAGACAAUAUGGAUGUCAGAUUUGAGUGGCAAAGUGAUGGAAACAAAUGGAUUUGUUAUAAACCAAGCUUAAACAGAACCAUUGUUGAAGCAUUCAAUGCAGGAAAAACUCAGGUUUGUAUAUUAUGAGUCAUCA
rnacentral:sRNA from 1 species